UGGCUCAUGUAGUUAAUCACAGAGAUUUAAGACAAAAGUACUUCCCUGACAAGUAUUUGGAUGAGUGGGAAAUAACCACAAAUGGGAGCAGAGCCUUGCAGACUUUGUCCUGCUGGACUGAGCAGUGCUGUAAUUCCUUUCUUUCCAAAUCCAGGGCUGUCAAAUUCCAUUGGAAUUGUCCUGAACAACAAAGUCAGCAUCUUUCUGGUCUGAAGCCAGACUGCAAAGCGAGGGGGCAGAGAGGGAAAAGUUGUCUCUGGGACAAGUGGUACCUCCUGCUGGUGACCAUUUCUUGCUGAUACUGGAAUAAUCAGGCAGAAGUGAAGGAGCACAUGGAGGCAUGUAAAAAACCCACAAGGAUCUAGAAAGGAGAUGGAUUAUCCAGCACUAGAGAAUUCCUCUCUGUCCAUGCUAUUUGUGUUUCUUCCCCAACUUUGACAGGUUGAAUGGCUCCUUCUUUUUGUCUGGGAAAUGAGCAGCUUCUAUUGUCCUUACAGAGAUUUCCAGAUCCCAUGAAUCCUCUUGCAGUACAGCAGGAAACUACAGCCAGGAUGGGGUCCUGUGCCACAACAGGCUACAUUUUCCUGAUAAAGAAAUCAGCAACACAUUUGAGAAGCAGGAAACUAGAACUGCCAAAAUUGUUGAUGGCUCUGGUAGAAGCACAGCAGCAAAACCUGUUCUGCCUCAGAGGUCUCAGUGGGGUACAAGACCCAGCUAAACACAGCAAGAUGUCUCACCAACCAACCUCAGGUUCCACAGGCUUCCAAGCACAGCAUCAGCCACGUCACUUGUCCUGCGUGUCACAGACCAGAGGAACUCUUCUGUUUGCAAUUCUCAUGAGGGCUUGUGCCUAUUUUCAUAUUUCUCCUUUCCAACCUGUGUGUGCAAGUAUCAGGCUUAUCUUUUCUUUGUCAGAGGAUCAGGAAUGACGCAGGGAUGAAGAGCUGCAUGCAGCAUUUUCAGGAGACCAAGGGAUUUCAGUGCUUUUUUAAUCAGACUGGGAUUUUUUCAGCCUUUAGCUAAAGUGUUACCGAUUUCCUACACGUUUAAAAUUCUAGAUCUCUUGUUAAUUUAGGUUUUGGAGUUGUUUUCUUUUUUUUUUAAAUCCUAAAUAUGCUUUUUAUAUUAAGAAUUACAAAGACUGAUCAACUAAGCUCACUUACAGUAUACCAGUUAAAAUUUGAAAAAUAUACCUGGAUUUGUUCAGCAGACUCAUGUUCUGCCUAAAUCACAGGUCAAUAAUAACCUUUCAUGAAAAAUAGGACCAAUACUUGCAAACUUGUUUACUCAGCCAUGGCUUAAAAAAGUGAACUCAAGUGACCUGGGUUUAAAGUCAACUCACCUGAAAAAUCAAGCAUCUGAAAAAUAAGUGACAUAUCUCCCAGAUGAAGCAAUUACCUAACUAGUGACAGUAAAGCAAUGAGCAUCUCCUCCAGUUGCUGUUAAACACCAAAGAAGGUGUUAUUGUGUAUAUCUGGCAGCUCUAGGUGACUUGAGAGAUGUAUUUAUGAUAAAAGAUAACAGCUAAUAACAGAAGCCAUUCCACACAGGACAGACUAGGAGCUAAAAAAUAUUUCAGAAGCAUCACAGUGAUUUUGUGAUCAUAAAAGUAGCAUUUUUGUUAAUGCCACCAAGCCUUCAAUACAAUGCCAUGUUCCUUCUGUCUGCUUCAAGUUUUUUUCCUUUUGCAUUUACAAAAUCAAAAGGGUUUACAAGAUGAAUGUGAGUUAUCCUCCACCUCUUUCAAUGACUUAAUAACAAACAACUUUAAUACAGCCAGUGCUGAACUGGAGUUCAAGAACCAUUUCUUGGAAAUCUGAAAUACACUGAAACCUUAACAAAGAAAAUGGUAUUCUAUUAAAUCUGCA
ensembl:lncRNA